rnacentral:tRNA from 1 species
AUGUAGUUCAGUAGUAGAACUCUUGCCAUUCAAGAGGCCCUGGGUUCAAUCCCCAGCAU